AUGGGGAGCCCUCUCAGCCCAGUAGUAGCAAAUUUCUAUAUGGAAUACUUUGAAAAACAGGCCCUAGAAACAGCACCAAAAAAGCCAACUGUUUGGUUCAGAUACGUAGAUGACACCUUCACAAUUUGGAGCCAUGGAGAGGAAGAACUCAGCAAGUUCCUGGACCAUCUUAACAGCAUCCACCCAAACAUCCAAUUCACCAUGGAAAAAGAAAAGGAAGGAAAACUGCCAUUUCUAGAUGUUCUGGUCAUCCGCAAACCCAAUCAACAAUUGGGCCACACAGUUUACAGAAAACCUACACACACAGAUAGAUACCUUCAUAAAAACUCCAACCAUCACCCAAGUCAAAAAAGGAGCACAAUCAAAGCCCUGACAGACCGUGCACAAAGAAUCUGCGAACCUCACCUCCUCCAAGGUGAACUCAACCACCUAAACUGGGCUCUACAGGCCAAUGGAUACUCCACCACAGACAUCAGAAGAGCUGCAAGGCCAAGAACAAGCCAUGAGAGUCAAGACAAAGAUCCACCCAGAGGAAAGGUGUUCUUACCAUACAUCAAGGGAACCACUGACCGCAUAGGCAAACUGAUGAAGAAGCACAACCUACAAACUAUCUACAGACCCACGAAGAAAAUCAAACAAAUGCUACGGUCAGCGAAGGACAAGAGGGAUCCUCUCUCUUCUGCAGGAGUCUACCGGAUACCAUGCAGCUGUGGACAAGUCUACAUAGGGACCACCAAACGCAGCGCCCAAACAAGAGUCAAAGAACAUGAAAGGCACUGCAGACUAAUUCAACCAGAGAAAUCAGCCAUAGCAGAGCAUUUGAUGAACCAGCCUGGACACAGAAUACUAUUUGAGAACACAAAAAUGCUGGACCAUUCUAACAACUAUCAUGUCAGACUACACAGAGAAGCCAUUGAAAUCCACAAGCAUGUGGACAACUUCAACAGAAAGGAAGAAACCAUGAAAAUGAACAAAAUCUGGCUACCAGUAUUAAAAAACUCAAAAAUCAGAACAGUAAAUAAAAAGCAAUACUCUGAAAACAGAGGAUUUCCAGACAUGAAUCAACCAAGGGCAGUUAACGACUCUAAACAAAGGAUGCCCCAGAGGCAGGAAGAAGACAGCAGAUAA
rnacentral:lncRNA from 1 species